rnacentral:rRNA from 1 species
AUUGAACGCUGGCGGCAUGCCUUACACAUGCAAGUCGAACGGUAACGGGCCUUCGGGUGCCGACGAGUGGCGAACGGGUGCGUAAUACAUCGGAACGUGCCCGAUCGUGGGGGAUAACGAGGCGAAAGCUUUGCUAAUACCGCAUACGAUCUACGGAUGAAAGCAGGGGACCGCAAGGCCUUGCGCGGACGGAGCGGCCGCUGGCAGAUUAGGUAGUUGGUGGGAUAAAAGCUUACCAAGCCGACGAUCUGUAGCUGGUCUGAGAGGAUGAUCAGCCACACUGGGACUGAGACACGGCCCAGACUCCUACGGGAGGCAGCAGUGGGGAAUUUUGGACAAUGGGCGCAAGCCUGAUCCAGCCAUGCCGCGUGCAGGAUGAAGGCCUUCGGGUUGUAAACUGCUUUUGUACGGAACGAAAAGCCUUCUUUUAAUACAGGAGGGUCAUGACGGUACCGUAAGAAUAAGCACCGGCUAACUACGUG